UUAUAAUUUAUUUCCGUAAUGAAUACAUUUUGCUUUGAGCAAGUUUUCAGUACAGUUUUUUUCAGCGCUAUCACUCCUGAGUCGCACCAGCCAUUAAAUGUAUCAUGAAGAGAAAAUAUAUUUAAGUCGUAUUUUGGGGGGACAUUUUAUUAUCUUUCUUACAAAAUGUGAGACCAAGCGUUUCACAUUGCAACACAAGCACCGGUAACCAUAACAGAAUGAACAGCCAGCAGAGGAGAGGAUGGCGGUGUUUCAAACCCUCCCGGCCGGCGUGGAGAGCUCAUUCCUGGGCUGGAGCCGGCCCUCAGCACCCCGCCACAGGCUCUAACAGAUGCUGGCGGUGUUUCAUAUAUUUCCAAAACGUAAUACUUGUUUGUAUCUUGUACAGCCAACUAGCCUUUAUUCUGGACUCAGUACAAUUUACCAAAAGUAAAGAGACAUUAUACAGAUGAAGUAAGCACAAGAUAACUUACUGGAAGACACAGAGUUAUCAUCAGAACCAGAACAAGAGAGCCUGAUAACAGUCAUGUGAAAAUAACAGUUAAAAAGUAUGUAUGUAUAAUAGAAAUAAAAAUAUAUUAGAAUUAGUGUAACUCACUGUGAUCCAAACAAAUCAGCCAUAGCUGAUUAGUAAAUAUGACAUGAGGUCUGGGAGUUUUUAAGUUUCAUUCUUUUAUUACAUUUUUUUCUUAGAUCUAUUAAAAGGUCACCAUGGCAGCCUGUGUGUCAACGUCAGCUACACAAAGCAGCAAGUCCAUUUGGAUCAUUGGAGACAGCUGAGUGAGGCGUGGUGCCCAGAGAGCUGCAGAGACCGUCGGACACAACCUUGGCCUCCCUGACGUCUGUGUCUCCUGGUUUGGUUGGGGCGGACCAUCGACAUACAUACAUGUGCCGACACUUUGCGCCCUGUUUUAUAAAAUGUAGUGUUAAAAAUAAAUGUUUUUGCUCAAUUACUGGAAUUUCUUUGGUUAAGACAAAAGUGAGGAAUAAUCAUUUACAAGUUAUUUGUACAACAGGCCCAUUUUAAAUCCCAACAGUUUCUUAGCAGACAAUAGAAAUGUGUUCUUUACUAACUUUACUUGGUUUGAAAAUCUUACUAAAAUAAUCUUGAGUGCCGUAUUGCAAAACCCAAUCAUACUUGUUAUGUAAACAUUAGCUUUGUAGAUAUUUUUUACAGAUACAUAUUUGUGUGCAACAAAAACCAAACUUAAAUAAUUUGUCAUUCUUUAUUGAAAAACAACAAAAUACAGGUAUACAGAAGUGUGGGAAAAUGAUAAUUUUAAAGUAUUGCACUAUAAAUGAAGUGAGAUGAGAUGAAGGUGAGAUGAAGGUGGACGCCAGCGGGCUGGACACCGGACGAGGAAACCUGGAGACGGAUCGCUCAGACAGGAAGGGAAGAGCUUCCUCUUACCUUGAUGGAAUUAAAGUUAGCCAUCGUCUGAACGCCCAACCGUACGGUCUGAGGUCAAAGGUCACAGGAAACACACACGUCAGCAGUCAUACAGAUGCAUAAAGAUAACUGUAGCCAUGGCAACCAGCUGACAUGUCCCCACUUUCACCAGCACCUGGUGCCUGCCGGGUCACCUGAAUUCCUGUGUGAUGUCAGCACGGUCGGCCGUGACUGCUGCCAUCAGAGGUGACCUCUGAUCAGCUGAAUGAACUCACCUUCCAGGGUGACGCCGUGUUAGAGUCGGCUUCAUCCUGUAAACAAACAAACAAACAAAUGAGUGGUAACAAAAACACCACGUCUGGUUCUGGUGGAGGCGGAGGACAACAUGCACCUUUCCAGGAGCAGAACCCAGAUGUUCUUGUUGCUACAAACAGAGACGAGCAGAGUUAAACCAGGAAGUGAGAGGGACCAGCUGCUGCAGACAGGUGACGCUCACCUGAGCCUGAACCAUAGGAGCCUCCUCAGCCAUCAGACCUUCUGACUCCAGUUCAGAUGCCACCUUGUUGAUGUCCCUCAGGCGGGACUUGUUGGCCUUCAGGUCCUGCAGGACAAAAGCACCUGCUGAUUACCUUGUUGCUGUCGGGUUAACAGGUCUGGUGUUAGAACGUGGUGGAUAAGAAUGUUCUGACGGGCCGAGGGUUCUGAACUCACCCUGCAGGACUGGGCCUGCUCCUUCAGGGCCUGGAUGCUGCUGCCGUAAGCCGACAGGUCUGACAUCAGGGCCUCGUGCUUCUUUAGGAGAGCCUGUGGAGCAGAACAUCAGAACCUUCAGCUCGUCUGACACAAGUGGAGCUUUCUCGCAGCGAUGGUCCAAUCGGAUCUGCCACCGUAAAACAAACCCUGCUCAGUUCACCGCAGACGCAGCUCUGCGGGUGUUUAGUGGAAAAGCGUGAGCCUUCUGCCGGCUGCCACGUGUCAUGGCUGCUCUGCAGCGGGAACACACAUCACAGCUUGUAAACCGUUUGAAAUAAGAGCGCCGGGAACACGUUUGUCAUCACUUCCUGUGCGAGGCCAGCACUUCUACCCCUAACCCAUGAGACGCUCAAACGAGCAACGACGUCUGGUAGACAACCGAAGGAAAUGACAAAUACAGAAACACUAAUUAUGAAGGACUGGAAAGAGAGCAAAGAAAAGCGAUUGGAGUUUCUCAGGAAGGGACUUCCAUACCUCGGCCAAGUCCUCGUCUUUCCCUUAGUCUGGACUUCCAACGAUGGGCUCCUUCUCCCUCAUCCAGGACUCGGCCUCAUUAGCAUCCGCAAAGUACUGCUGGGCCUGCAGAGAGUCCUCCAGGUCCUGCCUCCUCUGGGACGCCUUGGCCUUCAGCGUGUCCCAACGUCCAUGAAGCUCCCACAGUUUAGUCUUCACUUCCUCACCAGCGAAGUGACCUGGACCCAAAAAAAGUGAGCCAGAACCUGCAGACACCUCAGAAACAUGUCAGGACCAGACCUGCUCUACCCUCCUCCACCAUGGUCUCUCCUUUCUGGGUGACAGCCUUGAUGCGAGGUUCAUGACCUGUGAUCUCAGUCUGCAGAGCCUGGUGCUUCUUCAGCAGGUUCUGGACACCAAUCAGGUCCUUCCC